rnacentral:rRNA from 1 species
CGUCAGAGGUGAAAUUCUUGGAUUGACUGAAGACUAACUACUGCGAAAGCAUUUGCCAAGGACGUUUUCAUUAAUCAAGAACGAAAGUUAGGGGAUCGAAGAUGAUCAGAUACCGUCGUAGUCUUAACCAUAAACUAUGCCGACUAGGGAUCGGGUGGUGCUACUUUGCCCACUCGGCACCUUACGAGAAAUCAAAGUUUUUGGGUUCUGGGGGGAGUAUGGUCGCAAGGCUGAAACUUAAAGGAAUUGACGGAAGGGCACCACCAGGAGUGGAGCCUGCGGCUUAAUUUGACUCAACACGGGGAAACUCACCAGGUCCAGACGUAAUAAGGAUUGACAAGUUAGAGACUUCUCUUGAUCUUACGGGUGGUGGUGCAUGGCCGUUUUUAGUCCUUGGAGUGAUUUGUCUGCUUAAUUGCGAUAACGGACGAGACCUUAACCUGCUAAAUAGGGCUGCGAGCAUCUGCUCGGGUGCUCUUCUUAGAGGGACUAUGGGUAUCAAACCCAUGGAAGUUUGAGGCAACAACAGGUCUGUGAUGCCCUUAGACGUUCUGGGCCGCACGCGCGCUACACUG